GAUGAACGCUAGCGGCAGGCCUAAUACAUGCAAGUCGAACGGGAUCCAUUUUCAGCUUGCUGGGAAUGGUGAGAGUGGCGCACGGGUGCGUAACGCGUGAGCAACCUGCCCAUAUCAGGGGGAUAGCCCGAAGAAAUUCGGAUUAACACCGCAUGAGAUUGCAGUUCCGCAUGGUGCAGCAAUUAAAUAUUCAUAGGAUAUGGAUGGGCUCGCGUGACAUUAGCUAGUUGGUAGGGUAACGGCCUACCAAGGCCACGAUGUCUAGGGGCUCUGAGAGGAGAAUCCCCCACACUGGUACUGAGACACGGACCAG
rnacentral:rRNA from 1 species